CUCAAAUGAAUUGACGGGGGCCCGCACAAGCGGUGGAGCAUGUGGUUUAAUUCGAUGCAACGCGAAGAACCUUACCUACUCUUGACAUCCAGAGAACUUAGCAGAGAUGCUUUGGUGCCUUCGGGAACUCUGAGACAGGUGCUGCAUGGCUGUCGUCAGCUCGUGUUGUGAAAUGUUGGGUUAAGUCCCGCAACGAGCGCAACCCUUAUCCUUUGUUGCCAGCGGUCCGGCCGGGAACUCAAAGGAGACUGCCAGUGAUAAACUGGAGGAAGGUGGGGAUGACGUCAAGUCAUCAUGGCCCUUACGAGUAGGGCUACACACGUGCUACAAUGGCGCAUACAAAGAGAAGCGACCUCGCGAGAGCAAGCGGACCUCAUAAAGUGCGUCGUAGUCCGGAUUGGAGUCUGCAACUCGACUCCAUGAAGUCGGAAUCGCUAGUAAUCGUAGAUCAGAAUGCUACGGUGAAUACGUUCCCGGGCCUUGUACACACCGCCCGUCACACCAUGGGAGUGGG
rnacentral:rRNA from 1 species